rnacentral:lncRNA from 1 species
UUUUACAAUGGUGUUCAGAUAUUGUCAAUUAUUUCUGGUUUUGCUGCAAGGAAGCAAAUUCAUAUGAAAAAUUUAUUAUCCACAUUUGAUCUGGAACAGUUUCAGCAGCAUGUGCAUAUGUAUGCUCCCAAAAGAUUUGAGUACACGUAUACAGUGUACAGAGCAAGAUGUUUUUUGGCUGCUAUUGAUUACAAUAUGCAUUUGAACCGGCAAACCAUGCACAAUCAACAGAAUCAGUUAAUAUACCGUAGAAUUUACCAUAGGAAAUCUGGGAGAUGGACCUUGGUACCCAAGAAAGAAAAUAAGCAUUAUGUAUAUACUGAUGACAUAAUGGAGGAGAUAUUUCAACGCCGUUUGGGGAUGUAGCAAGAGAUCCUGAAGGCGAAACCUCUGAAACCAAAUAUUUCAAGACUGAUUGCAAAAUGAAUUAUCCUAAUUAGCCUUCUUUCACAAUUAAAAAAAUAACAACUUCUCCAGGCUUAUAUUUAUUGGAAUUGCCUAUGGUAAUGCUUGAUUACUUAGGAGAAUAUAGUUAUUUUACCUCUUAUUCUUGGGGAGGGGGAAGUGAACUAUUUGUAACGGUAUUAGUAUCCAUUUCUGGUGGGACUGGUUAAAUAGUCAAGUUAUAAUAACUUGCUAACCUUUUAAUUGUGUGCCCGUGUGUGUGUACACACACACACACACACGCACACACUCUAUAACUUCUUAAUUUUGGGAACAAUGUUUCUUAAAGACUAAAACUACUUUUUGAUAAAAGUAAUAUGCACAUUUUUUAUGUAUGAUAAAUUUUCAGUAUGAGUUAUAUAAUGUCAUA